AUCCAUUCUCUAACUCCUUAGUAAACAAAGCAAUAGAGCUGAAAUAAAAAUCUUCGAGCUCAUGUUGAUCUUGAGGAGGGUAAGGAACAGGGUAACGAAUUCGAGUGCUCUAAGUUCAUUAAUGUGUGAUGACACUAGUAAGGAAGGGUAAGAGGCGGCCAGGCAAGGAAGACGCCGGACGGCGGCCGGUCGCGCCGCUCUCCUCCUCGCCUCCGCCACGCCCUUCUGCUCCCUGCUGACCCUUCUGAGGCUUUGCCGACUUGGACGACUCCGUGGAUGAUGAUGCGGAAGAGGGUGAGGCGGAAGAUAAGAGGAAUCCUGUUCCAACCGCCGCUGAAAGGGUGGAUGGCCAGGAGGAGGAGGAGGAUAAGAGGAGGCAUCGUAGUAGGAUUCCCGUCAUCUUCUUCCUCUUGUGGUUGACCGUGAGGAAGGUUAGGGCGAAGUGGAUGAGGAAGGGAACCGAUCAAUCCUCCAAAAAGCGCAGCUUUCUCCUAAGCGAGAAGUAUAGUGUUCUGUUCUACCUUCAUUCGCAAGCUGUUUCUUUGUUCCCUACACUUCAUUUUCUUCCCAAUCCAGUCUCGAUCAAAAUUGAUGAAGUGGAGUACUUGUUGAUGGGAAAUUGGACAUCUUGCAGAUUGAAAAUGUCCUCUGAAGAUUGAAAAGGCCUGUUUCAGGGGUAUUCAACAAUGCAAUUUUGAUCUUCUCUUUGUAUUUGUUGUCAUUGAAUCGAACGUUUUGGGUGGUGGCAGAAAGGAUACUGGUGCGGUUUUUGUGCAACCAGUGGAUAUCGAAGAGCUUCCUGAUUACUUUGAUAUGAGUGAACAUCCAAUGGACUUUGGGACCAUGCAGAAGAAAUUGGCAAGGAAUUGCGUUCACUCUUUUGAACAAUUUGAGGAUGAUGUCUUCUUGAUCUCCGGCAACGCUAUGCAGUAUAAUGCACCAGACACAAUAUACUUUAGAGAGGAAUUAGGUGGUGGUUAUGAUCUUUGCCUUUGGUGCCUUCAAGAUUAAUGGUUAGCUAGUCGAACAUUUCAAAGAGUUCUGAUUCUUCUAAAGCUUCUCCAUCAGCUGUUCCAUCAACCUGCAGAAUCUACCAGAUUAUGUUGCUACUCAAACAUGGAUAGCGGCCGGAUCUUUGUAACAAUUUAAAUGAAUCUGUUUCUAUGGUUUCCUAUGACUGUUGGAUGACACUGAACUCAUGCUUUCCUAUGUCUCAAAUCCAGACAGUUGAUUUGGAACAUCAGGCUAUUGAUAAAGAAAUAGUUAUCUCCCCUCAACUAGUCACAGACAAUAUAUCAAGAUUUUGGAAUCAGAGUCCGCAGCAACCAGCAAGGUCCAGUUCCAUGAACCACAAACAAACAUAAUAAGUAUAUAUUUCCUCCAGAUCUUAAUAUUAGUUUCCAGCCUCGACCUCCUGGAUCACCUGCUUAGCUGCUCUCCACUCCUGCGAUUCAUAAGAACUCUCAGCAGCCAGACUUAGCUUUGCAACUCUGACAUACCUUGUUUGAUUCUGCAAUAUCCUCCAUGCAGGAAAUUGUUCUUGUCAUGUGAUGCAGAAGGAAUGUUAAAAUUAUUAAUGCUAAGAUGCUUUAACACCCGAUAGAGUUUCUUUAUGCCUGGAAGAUCGGUAAGGUAUUGGAAAAGAGAACUCAUCCUAACAGAAACUGCUUAAUCACCUGAUCUUUGCUUGAUCAUCACACCUUUGGUUGGAAAUCAAUUCUUGAGCUAUGGUCAUGACUCAGGAUGUAUAUAGUGAGAUGAACUGUGUGUUAGCUGUUGGUUCUUGGUGAUAUUGUAAGUUUUCUUCCUUCAUCACGGAAUAAUCGUCAAAGAUAUCUUCUUGGAGUCAACUAUGGUGCAUUUGUCGUGCAACCUUUGAAGAAACCAAAAUUGUAGGAAAGGGAUAUUUCUCAUUGUUAGAGCCCUAGUUGAGUUUACUUGUUGGCAUUCGGUGGUCGAUCAAAGUCUUCAAGGUGAAAGAGGUGACCAUGGAAGGCUCCUUAGGUCAUGUUGUAAUCAGUAAUUCACCUCUCAUUCUCUACUAAUGUGGAACCUCAUUUCAUCAUAUUCCAAUCGCCAAACGUGUAUUUUAGAUGUUGUUAGAGCCAACUUAUCCUGUUUUCUGAGAUGGAUAAACAUUUCACUCAUCUUGAGUUGAGUGUGUGCUUAGAGUUCGAUCACCCGUCUUGAAGGUAAUAGUGGUGAACUCAUUUUGAUAACUAAGAUUGUUUGUGGAGAUGGGCAAACAUUCGAAAUAUCUAGCCUUUUUUUAACGAUAAGAAAAAACAGAAAAAAUACCUGGGAUUUCGAGUGAUCAUAAAGGAGAGAUAUUGACGCGGCUCAAUCCAACCACAUGGCUUUCUGCUCUUCUUCCAAGCCAUGCCUUCAGAUUGAGGCGCACCAAUACCUCUCUCGACUAUCUAGAGUCGGCUAUACAAAUCUUCCUUUUUGCCUCGGUUUGCGGCUGUCUCCUCCUGUAGAUUUCCAAAAGAACUUGAUAUACCGACUUUCAAGGCUUGGAGAUACCUGCUUAAAGUCUCAGAUUCCUCUUCGAAUAUGAGGAAGAAACAGAGAGGAGGAGAAAUGGAUAGUCACGUAUGAGUUUAUUAUUGUGAAGGUUAUGAAUAUGGUGAUUUAUAUUGGUGGCAGAAGGGAGUCGACUAGCCAAGUUGUCAUGUUUGUUUGCUUCAUGGGACAUGCAAGUAAAUGUUAGAUUCUCUAAGUGUGCAUAAGUUGAACUCCGAAUUUAUCGGAUAGACGAAUCAGGAAACCUAAUUUACCGUUAGGAUUAGUCGGGAGAAGCGUGUACACUUGGAUUAUUAAAAAAAACGUUAGAUUCUGUAAAAGUGAAGUGUUGUUUUAGUCUCGAUCAUGAGAUGAGAUGUCUACUUCCUUCUUCGAAAUAUUUUUAGAAUUUUAAGAUCAUGGAAAUGAGAUCUCUUGUAUUUUGAAGAGUCCUGGCAUUUUUUUAUCUCCUCAUUUAUUAAUAUUGCUAAAUUACUCGAUGGUUUAAAGGUGCUAAUGACUAGAGAGUAAAAUGUCAAGAGUUUUUUAGAGGCAAAAUGUGAGACAAAUAUUGCGCAAGAGCAAUUAAUGAAAGUACCUGUAAUCCAAUAGUGCAUAUUUUUAACUAACUUGGUUCAACCUAGCGAAGCUUACCAUAUAACAUGAGACUUCAAUUUUGCACGCAAGGCUACACGCCGACGAUAGCAACAUGUAGCCCAUGGCCACAAACAAGUGAAGUCGAAGAAAGGAAUGUCGGUCACAUGGGAGGAAUCACUGUCAUUCAUGCAUAGCAAUUAAAUGUUUGUGUAUAUUCCAUCAUAACUAGGUUAUUUCUUUGAACAAUGGCUUAAAUUACUAGGAUAUACACUUGGGAUACAGCUUGUCAAUUUAUUGAAGUGAUUUGGAGAAAAGUAAAUACAAGCUCAAAGCUCUCUCAAAAGAGUUUUAGUGCAUUUAUUCCCCCUUUUUCUUCAAUUUGCGUAGUCUCUUCUUCAAUAUCAAGUGCAUUCUCUCCAUGGAUAGUUUCACGGAAAAGAGCUUACACGAUGAGUUGUAAUAGAUAGAGGUCAAAUCCCUGAAACAAACAAACAAAACACAAAUGAAAGUGUUUAAGUACAAAAGCACAACACUAUUUGCUAAAAUUAAAAAUUGACAGUAAAAGGUAAAAUCGU